CCCUGGCUCAGGACGAACGCGGCGGCGUGCCUAAUACAUGCAAGUCGAGCGGAAUGAUGAAGAAGCUUGCUUCUUCUGAUUUUAGCGGCGGACGGGUGAGUAACACGUGGGCAACCUACCUUGUAGAUUGGGAUAACUCCGGGAAACCGGGGCUAAUACCGAAUAAUCCAUUUUGCUUCAUGGCAAGAUGUUGAAAGGCGGCUUCGGCUGUCACUACGAGAUGGGCCCGCGGCGUAUUAGCUAGUUGGUAGGGUAAUGGCCUACCAAGGCGACGAUACGUAGCCGACCUGAGAGGGUGAUCGGCCACACUGGGACUGAGACACGGCCCAGACUCCUACGGGAGGCAGCAGUAGGGAAUCUUCCACAAUGGACGAAAGUCUGAUGGAGCAACGCCGCGUGAGUGAAGAAGGUUUUCGGAUCGUAAAACUCUGUUGUAAGGGAAGAACACGUACGAGAGUAACUGCUCGUACCUUGACGGUACCUUAUUAGAAAGCCACGGCUAACUA
rnacentral:rRNA from 1 species